AGUUGGACGCCCAGCUGACUGAGCCACCCAGAGAAGAGUUGGAAAGACCUCCUCCUGACUCUAAGGGAAGAACACUUCGGAAAGAGAGACACAAUGGCCACACCCCAAGAACCGAUGCUUCAGAACCACCCGUCUUGCUGACUCUCCUCUUCUAGAAGGACUCAGAGAGAUGUCUUUUCUAUCUGGCUGAUGAAGCACCACAUUCCCCCACACCUGCUGUGAAAGACCAGCCCCAUGGAAGUUUGGACCAAGCAGUCAAAGCUGGAGGAGACAGGACUGCCUUGUCACCGUGGAGUCUGGUUGGCUACCUGGUAUCUUUCACUAAGAGACACGUGGGAGACUUGAUUACUGGUGAAGCUUCGGGAGUCUGGACUUCCUUGUGAAGACGAGUUCUGGCCGUCUGCUGGGGUGUGCUUUACCAAGAGACGCUUGGGAGCCUUGAUUACAGACAGCAAGCGAGAGAGGGAACGCAGCAGGGGAGUGGGAGAGGAAGAAGCAGGCUCCCA